UAAGGAAUCUUCCACAAUGGACGAAAGUCUGAUGGAGCAACGCCGCGUGCAGGAUGACGGCCUUCGGGUUGUAAACUGCUUUUAUAUGGGAAGAUUAUGACGGUACCAUAUGAAUAAGGACCGGCUAACUACGUGCCAGCAGCCGCGGUAAUACGUAGGGUCCAAGCGUUAUCCGGAAUCACUGGGCGUAAAGCGUGCGUAGGCGGAUGUUUAAGUGAGACGUGAAAUCCUGUGGCACAACCAUAUGGACUGUAUCUCAUACUGGAUAUCUAGAGGAUGGCAGAGGCAAGUGGAAUUACCGGUGUAGCAGUGAAAUGCGUAGAUAUCGGUAGGAACACCAAUGGCGAAGGCAGCUUGCUGGGCCAUUUCUGACGCUAAGGCACGAAAGCGUGGGGAGCGAACAG
rnacentral:rRNA from 1 species